AUUGAACGCUGGCGGCAGGCCUAACACAUGCAAGUCGAGCGGAGCGGCGGACGGGUGAGUAAUGCCUAGGAAUCUGCAUGGUAGUGGGGGAUAACGUCCGGAAACGGGCGCUAAUACCGCAUACUAUCAGAUGAGCCUAGGUCGGAUUGGCGAGUUGGGGGGGUAGAGGCCUACCAAGGCGACGAUCCGUAACUGGUCUGAGAGGAGGAUCAGUCCCACUGGAAAGGAGACACGGUCCAGACUCCUCCGGGGGGCAGCAGUGGGGAAUAUUGGACAAGGGGCGAAAGCCUGCUCCAGCCAUGCGGCGUGUGUGAAGAAGGUCUUCGGGUUGUAAAGCCCGUUAAGUUGGGAGGCGUUACCGACAGAAUAAGCACCGGCUAACUUCGUGCCAGCAGCCGCGGUAAUUC
rnacentral:rRNA from 1 species